GUGCUUGUUUUGUAGUGGUUAUCAUAUCCGCCUUAACACGCGGAAGGUCUCAGGUUCGACUCCUGGCAAGCACA
rnacentral:tRNA from 1 species